UGGAUCCAGACCUUUAUCAUGGCUCAGGAUGAACGCUAGCUACAGGCUUAACACAUGCAAGUCGAGGGGAAACGACAUCGAAAGCUUGCUUUUGAUGGGCGUCGACCGGCGCACGGGUGAGUAACGCGUAUCCAACCUGCCCAUCACUUGGGGAUAACCUUGCGAAAGUAAGACUAAUACCCAAUGAUAUCUCUAGAAGACAUCUGAAGGAGAUUAAAGAUUUAUCGGUGAUGGAUGGGGAUGCGUCUGAUUAGCUUGUUGGCGGGGUAACGGCCCACCAAGGCGACGAUCAGUAGGGGUUCUGAGAGGAAGGUCCCCCACAUUGGAACUGAGACACGGUCCAAACUCCUACGGGAGGCAGCAGUGAGGAAUAUUGGUCAAUGGACGAGAGUCUGAACCAGCCAAGUAGCGUGCAGGAAGACGGCCCUAUGGGUUGUAAACUGCUUUUAUAAGGGAAUAAAGUGAGUCUCGUGAGACUUUUUGCAUGUACCUUAUGAAUAAGGACCGGCUAAUUCCGUGCCAGCAGCCGCGGUAAUACGGAAGGUCCGGGCGUUAUCCGGAUUUAUUGGGUUUAAAGGGAGCGUAGGCCGGAGAUUAAGCGUGUUGUGAAAUGUAGAUGCUCAACAUCUGAACUGCAGCGCGAACUGGUUUCCUUGAGUACGCACAAAGUGGGCGGAAUUCGUGGUGUAGCGGUGAAAUGCUUAGAUAUCACGAAGAACUCCGAUUGCGAAGGCAGCUCACUGGAGCGCAACUGACGCUGAAGCUCGAAAGUGCGGGUAUCGAACAGGAUUAGAUACCCUGGUAGUCCGCACGGUAAACGAUGGAUGCCCGCUGUUGGUCUGAAUAGGUCAGCGGCCAAGCGAAAGCAUUAAGCAUCCCACCUGGGGAGUACGCCGGCAACGGUGCAACUCAAAGGAAUUGACGGA
rnacentral:rRNA from 1 species